GGGCCUAUGGUGUAAUGGUUAGCGCUCUGGACUUUGAAUCCAGUGAUCUGAAAUCAAAUCUCAGUAGAACUG
rfam:Alligator sinensis unplaced genomic scaffold scaffold1097_1, whole genome shotgun sequence